rnacentral:rRNA from 1 species
GAUGAACGCUGGCGGCGUGCUUAACACAUGCAAGUCGAACGGAAAGGCCCAAGCUUGCUUGGGUACUCGAGUGGCGAACGGGUGAGUAACACGUGGGUGAUCUGCCCUGCACUUCGGGAUAAGCCUGGGAAACUGGGUCUAAUACCGGAUAGGACGAUGGUUUGGAUGCCAUUGUGGAAAGUUUUUUCGGUGUGGGAUGAGCUCGCGGCCUAUCAGCUUGUUGGUGGGGUAAUGGCCUACCAAGGCGUCGAAGGGUAGCCGGCCUGAGAGGGUGUACGGCCACAUUGGGACUGAGAUACGGCCCAGACUCCUACGGGAGGCAGCAGUGGGGAAUAUUGCACAAUGGGCGCAGGCCUGAUGCAGCGACGCCGCGUGGGGGAUGACGGCCUUCGGGUUGUAAACUCCCUUCGCUAGGGACGAAGCGUUUUUGUGACGGUACCUGGAGAAGAAGCACCGGCUAACUACGUG